AUCGGCAGGUAUAUUAUUCAUCAGCAGGUAUGUUAUAAAUCGUCAGGUAUAUUAUUCAUCGGCGGGUAUGUUAUAAAUCGUCAGGUAUAUUAUUCAUCGGCAGGUAUAUUAUUAAUCAUUAGGUAUAUUAUUCAUCGGCAGGUAUAUUAUUCAUCGGCAGGUAUAUUAUUCAUCGGCAGGUAUAUUAUUCAUCGGCAGGUAUAUUAUUCAUCGGCAGGUAUAUUAUUCAUCAGCAGGUAUAUUAUUCAUCGGCAGGUAUAUUAUUCAUUGGCAGGUAUAUUAUUAAUCAUCAGGUAUAUUAUUCAUCGGCAGGUAUAUUAUUCAUUGGCAGGUAUAUUAUUAAUCAUCAGGUAUAUUAUUCAUCAUUAGGUAUAUUAUUCAUUGGCAGGUAUAUUAUAAAUCAUCAGGUAUAUUAUUCAUCGGCAGGUAUAUUAUUCAUCGGCAGGUAUAUUAUUCAUCGGCAGGUAUAUUAUUAAUCAUCAGGUAUAUUAUUCAUCAGCAGGUAUAUUAUUAAUCAUCAGGUAUAUUAUUCAUCAUUAGGUAUAUUAUUCAUUGGCAGGUAUAUUAUAAAUCAUCAGGUAUAUUAUUCAUUGGCAGGUAUAUUAUUCAUUGGCAGGUAUAUUAUUCAUCGGCAGGUAUAUUAUUAAUCGGCUGGUAUAUUAUUAAUCAUUAGUUGUAUUAUUAAUCAUCAGGUAUAAUAGACAUGAGGGGUGCCUUAAGUAAGCUUGGGAGAGACUGAGUACAGGGAAAAGGAUCCCAUGUAGCAGUACUGAUAAGGGGAGGAACCGUUUAAGGCUCAGAUCACCACCCAUAGUGGGGUAUGUAUACUACCAUGGGUGAAACCAGGUUUUUGUCUGAAUUCAGCUGUAUUGGCCCUCUGGGAAGUAUAAACUUGGUUAAGCUUUCAUAGAGUAAAAAAACUCAACUGACACUGAGAAUUAGAACCUAACAAUAGUCAGUGGAGUAGAUAUCAUCUGACCUUCCUAACUGGGUAGCGUCCACACAGGGUGUUUUCUCAGACCCAGCCAAAAUAAGCACAUUAAUAAUCUGCACUGUAAGCAGAGAGGGAGCACGCAGUCCCUACCGGUCCUGUCCACACUCACAAAUGGUGAUGAAGCGCCAGCUACACCCAUGUUGCUCCCAGUGCAUGCUGGGAACCCCACUGCUGCAGAGCCAGUGACGAGGGAGGGAAAGGAGAGACGUGUGGGGCGGCUUGU
rnacentral:lncRNA from 1 species